rnacentral:lncRNA from 1 species
GUGCCCCACAGCCAUGUUAGGAACAGGAGGAGAAUCUCGUCCUAACAUGAGUUGAAAUUGACUGUCUCAGAAACAGGAGGAGAACCUCAUCCUGACAUAAAUGAAGACCCGAUCGUUCAAGACUGGAUAAGGAGGAAAGCCUCCUCAAUGGCUCCUCUACACCCCUACGACCCCAUUAAGAGCAAAGGAAAAACCCUCACUCGAACACAAAAAAAAAGGGGGGAGAGAAAAAGGGAAAGUGACGAGCCACGCCAGUGAUAAGGGAAAAAUAAACUACAUCAAAGACACAAGGAAUCUCGUCUCAAUGAGGAAGGAGACUCUUGUCAAAGACCCUCAGUCUCUAAGAGGGAACCAACACUGGCAGGAGAAAAUUGACUUCCUCAAGAUAACGAGAAGUUCGGGCCCCCAAGCUCGAGCACCGGGAGGAAGCGUCAAACUCGAGUGGCCUCGAAAAGACCUUUGGUUAUGAACAAAAGGGGCA